UACGUAGGGUGCAAGCGUUAAUCGGAAUUACUGGGCGUAAAGCGUGCGCAGGCGGUUCUAUAAGACCGAUGUGAAAUCCCCGGGCUUAACCUGGGAACUGCAUUUGUGACUGCAUCGCUGGAGUGCGGCAGAGGGGGAUGGAAUUCCGCGUGUAGCAGUGAAAUGCGUAGAUAUGCGGAGGAACACCGAUGGCGAAGGCAAUCCCCUGGGCCUGCACUGACGCUCAUGCACGAAAGCGUGGGGAGCAAACAGG
rnacentral:rRNA from 1 species